AGGAUGAACGCUGGCGGCGUGCCUAACACAUGCAAGUCGAACGUCCUGUCUCGCAAGAGGCAGGGAGUGGCGGACGGGUGAGUACCACGUGGGUCAUCUACCGUGAGGUGAGGAAUACCGGCGAGAAAUCGCCGACAAGACCGCAUAGGCUCGAUGCAAGUCGAGCAAAGCUCUUUCGAGAGAGGGAGCGCCACACGAGGAGCCUGCGCCCGAUUAGCUAGCUGGUGGAGUAACGGUUCACCAGGGCGACGAUCGGUAGCUGGUCUGAGAGGACGAUCAGCCACACUGGGAUUGAGAACGGCCCAGACUCCUACGGGGGGCAGCAGUGAGGAAUUUCGUCAAUGGGGGCAACCCUGAACGAGCAACGCCGCGUGCAGGAAGAAGGUUUUCGGAUCGUAAACUGCUUUUCUCGGGGAAGAGAAUGGACGGUACCCGAGGAAUCAGCCCGGCUAACUACGCGCCAGCAGCCGCGGU
rnacentral:rRNA from 1 species